GCCCUGGUGAUGUCUGGCUUAUUGCUUUCUUCAAGAAACAAAAUUGCUAACGUAGUCACGGCGAAGACGCCUCGGGAAGCGGCCAUGUUGCCGAAGCAGAGACAGGAAAUAGGAAGCACGAGCGACAAGUGACACGACACGUAGAGUUCCGGUUGAAUCUGUCUGUUUUGGCGGAGCAGUCUGGGUUGCUCCCUGGAGCGACCGAGCGGCACGAAUGCCGCUCCGAAGCUCCCAUUGGAAGACUCCAGAACUGUUCCCAAUCUGCCAAUCGAACAGACUUGCUCUCUGCGGAGCAACAAAACUUGCUCUGGAAGCGCUCCGAAUCUGCCAUUGGAAUUCAACAUUAGAGAUAGAGAGGGACAUCCUCACGAAUCCGUGAUUCCGAGUAUUCCGAAGAUUCUAGUGGGAGAACAAGCGAAAAAGAAAUGCUCACGGAGCCGAAGUUUAGUCCCAUAUUACAUCGAGCAUUCACACGGUGCCGGAACAUCGGAGGUGACGUACCGCGAACUUAGCAGACGACAAUGCUAGCGUCUUCUCUUGUCGUCUGCUACGGAAUGUCUUGUGGCUGUGCUGCAGGAUAUUCACCACGGUUACGAGUGUACGUGAAGACACGACGUUGAGCUCUCGCUCUCUCGUCGUGACAGGACAAAGCUAUGGCGUUUUUUUUUUUUUUUCAAUCUUCCGCCAGAGUAUUCUAGGGAGUGUCGCUCGUGUGAACGCACGGUCAGUGUAACAACGCAAGCCUGCUGUGACGUCAUGAAACGCAUGCGCAAAUCUUUUACUUUAAUAUAGGAAAAAUAUGUGGAGGUCGCCAAGAAAACCACUUCCUGGCGAACGAUGCCAGCGGGACCGUAUGCCAACAUGCAUCUCACGGACAUAUUGUUGUUUGUUGGAAAAUACAGGAUAUCGAGGACAACAAAAUACUGUUGUUUUGCAAGUGGAAUCUCAUUUUAGCACAAAUGUACCGAUACAAUAUUGGUGAUUAUCUGUCUAAAGUACCAAGGUAUAGAUAUCCGUAAAUAUCUAUUAUUUAUAUAUUAUUAUUUAUAUAUUAUCUACUAAAUUAUUUGACCUCUGGCCUCGGUGGCUCAGUCGGUAGCGUGUUCGCCUUCUGAUUCCGAGAUCGCGGGCAACCGAGGACGCCAGCAACUUGGAGGCAGGGUACAAGUUGCUUAGAGACGCCGUCUUCCGCGAGGGAUGUUAAAUACGGGGUGCCGUGUGAUGAGCUUUCAUCGAACGUUAAAGAACCCUCAGGUGGGCAAAAGCAAUCCACAAACCGACCGCUGUUGCACCGCUCAUGACCUCAGUUGUCUCGCGACGUAAGCACCCAAUUAUUAUUAAUUAUUAUUAAAUUAUUUGACCACGUGAACUGGACAGUGGUCAAGGACGACGCAAACUUUUUUAGUCUGCCUACACCAACAUUUAAUUGAAAAGUGGGUUACUGCUGUCAACAUAAGUAUAGUAAAGUUAACCCUUAUACUUUUACGCUUGUCAUUUUUUUUGCAAGGCUGGUGUAAAUGAUUAGCAAUUAUUGCUUCAUAAAACUAACAAUGUAAAGCUAGUAACAAUGUAACAGUGAGCAUAGUAAAUCUAUACUUCCAGGUUUACUCUGUCUUUUUGUCACGUCUGCUUUCGCAGCUCAGUGGCACCGCUUGCGACAAGUUGACUCUCCUAUGGAUGCCGCACUGAAGCGAUCUGGGAGAUCUAAAGCGCACCCUCCUCCAUUGCCGUCACUGCCAACCCUUCAGAUCCACACUUUCAGCGUCCCUAAAUCAGCUAGACUCUCACCCUGUCACUAUGCCAAACUUGCCUUGACCAUGGCGAAAUAUUUUCUUUUUAUUUAUUUCUUAUUUCUUAAUUUUAUUUAAUUAUUUAUUUACUUAUUUCUGAAAUAGCAGGCCGACGUCUCGUUUGGCUGACCUUUCCCCCGUUUUUUUUUUCCCUUUUCGCCUAAUAAAUAUAUCCCCUCCCCCCCCCCCCCCAGCCCACCAAUGCUGCAAUGCUGUACCCCGAAAGCACUUUUAAAGGUACUGUGAAGCAACAGGCAUACAAUUUACACUACAAGCGGGCCACAUCCAGCCGACCAACGCUCUGCCCCCAAGGCUCUCUUUCCCUUACGGGACGCAAUAGGACUUCGAUGCUUAUUGUGAAGGGGCUCAUUACUUCAUUGCCCGCAUCACCACCAGCAAUGGGUAGCGUAUCGUCCGUAGCGAUGAAACUCCCCAGUCUACAUCUCGUAAUAAAGUUAUUGUUGCUGUUGUCACCUCUGCCAUAUGCUAUAUUCGGUCCUAUAUAUUUGGGAAGAUAACACACCAGAACGAAGAUCGAUACGAAGGUAACGUUCGGUUAGCAGGAAGGGUACCCCAGAAAGAAAUUAUCAGUGGAAAUGAGAAGGCGGACCAGGCUGCUCGAAUUGCUCACCAUAAAAGAACUACUUAUAAAAUCUACUUCACGCAAUCCGAUGCGACGUACUUGCUGGCCUCCCUACGGAAUCGCCUCUCUAAAACCAUGCGGACAGGCGACGCCAUGAAUCAAGCGUUCCUCGCGCGAAUCGAUCCCAACUGCACCUACUGCCUCCCACCGAAGUUGCCAAGGCCGUUAGAGUCCGUCGUCCAUCGCCUGCGACUCAACGUCCCGUUCGCAGCAGCAUUCCUUCAUAAGAUAGGUGUCGUUGGAUCGCCGAACUGUUCAACUUGCGGAACUGUGGAGAACACGGAGCGCGUGCUGGUCACCUACCGACUCUAGACGGCGAAUACUGAAGAACGCCCUCGCGAAACUUGACAACCGACCAUUUAGUGUUGAGAAGGUACUGGGGAGCUGGCCAAGGCAGCACCAGCAACCUGCGCUGUGUGCACUCAUGACCUACCUCAAGGACAUACGUGCUGAUAUAAUGUUUUAAUUCGUUCAGUGCUUCCACAUGUCAAGCGUCCUGGAGCAGCUGGACGCACCAGUGCGACCUACGCUUUCAUUUUUUUCUUUCUAUUUCUAUUCUACUCUGUUCUAUUAUUAUUAUUAACUAUUAGCAAAUAAUCUUCCGGACUUUAUUACUUUAUUUGUCAAUACUGUGGUACGAAAGCAUUAUUGGUCUCAAGAUUUUAAAGUCAUGAAGCACUGCACGCGGCAGUUGAGAAAUCCAGAAGUGCAUACCGUGCCCCGAAUUUUCACGAAUUACAGUAAAAGACAGCGGCAUUAUAAUGUUCCAGUCAUAUUUAAUGCUUUGUCGCAUGGUUUCCUUGACUUAGAUUCAAUUAAAGCCUUGAAGGUUUUGCUGCGCUUUGUAAUAGGUACUGUAAAGGCUAUUUGAGCUAUCCCUUUGCCAUGCGUUUCUGAGGGUUCGUAGGAUUCUUGUGUAUAUUAAUGGGUGGUUCAUUAUCUGUAUCUUAUUACUUGCUCUUUUCUUUUUUGCUUUGCUGUUGUUAUCAGUGUUUGAAUCGUUUAGCACGCUACUGACUGUUACCUGCCCACAAGCCUCAAGGCUCAUUCUGGUACUGUUAUAAUCGAGAUCGUGUUAAACAGACCAAUAAAAUUGAAUUGAAUUCAAAUUAU